rnacentral:pre_miRNA from 1 species
GUACUACUCUCUCCGUUCGGAAUUACUUGUCGCGGAAAUUGAUGUAUCUAGAUGUAUUUUAGUUUUAGAUACAUCCAUUUUCGAGACAAGUAAUUCCGAACGGAGGGAGUACCUC